rnacentral:rRNA from 1 species
AUUGAACGCUGGCGGCAGGCCUAACACAUGCAAGUCGAACGAGUGGCGGACGGGUGAGUAAUGUCUGGGAAACUGCCCGAUGGAGGGGGAUAACUACUGGAAACGGUAGCUAAUACCGCAUACCAUCGGAUGUGCCCAGAUGGGAUUAGCUAGUAGGUGGGGUAACGGCUCACCUAGGCGACGAUCCCUAGCUGGUCUGAGAGGAUGACCAGCAAGACUGGGAAGAAGACACGGUCCAGACUCCUACGAGAGGGGGCGGUGGGAAAUAUUGGACAAUAGGCGAAAGCAUGAUGCAGCCAGACGGCGUGUAUGAAGAAGGCCUUGGGGUUGUAAAGUAGGUACAGCGAGGAGGCGUUACUCGCACGGGAAACAACGGCUAACUCCGUGCCAGCAGCCGCGGUAAUUC